AACGAACGCUGGCGGCAGGCUUAACACAUGCAAGUCGAGCGCCCCGCAAGGGGAGCGGCAGACGGGUGAGUAACGCGUGGGAAUCUACCCAGCUCUACGGAACAACUCCGGGAAACUGGAGCUAAUACCGUAUACGUCCUUCGGGAGAAAGACUUAUCGGAGUUGGAUGAGCCCGCGUUGGAUUAGCUAGUUGGUGGGUAAUGGCCUACCAAGGCGACGAUCCAUAGCUGGUCUGAGAGGAUGAUCAGCCACACUGGGACUGAGACACGGCCCAGACUCCUACGGGAGGCAGCAGUGGGGAAUAUUGGACAAUGGGCGAAAGCCUGAUCCAGCCAUGCCGCGUGAGUGAUGAAGGCCCUAGGGUUGUAAAGCUCUUUCACCGGUGAAGAUAAUGACGGUAACCGGAGAAGAAGCCCCGGCUAACUACGUGCCAGCAGCCGCCGUAA
rnacentral:rRNA from 1 species